rnacentral:rRNA from 1 species
AGUGAACGCUGGCGGUAGGCCUAACACAUGCAAGUCGAACGGCAGCACAGUAAGAGCUUGCUCUUACGGGUGGCGAGUGGCGGACGGGUGAGGAAUACAUCGGAAUCUACUUUUUCGUGGGGGAUAACGUAGGGAAACUUACGCUAAUACCGCAUACGACCUACGGGUGAAAGCAGGGGAUCUUCGGACCUUGCGCGAUUGAAUGAGCCGAUGUCGGAUUAGCUAGUUGGCGGGGUAAAGGCCCACCAAGGCGACGAUCCGUAGCUGGUCUGAGAGGAUGAUCAGCCACACUGGAACUGAGACACGGUACAGACUCCUACGGGAGGCAGCAGUGGGGAAUAUUGGACAAUGGGCGCAAGCCUGAUCCAGCCAUACCGCGUGGGUGAAGAAGGCCUUAGGGUUGUAAAGCCCUUUUGUUGGGAAAGAAAAGCAGCAGGUUAAUACCCCGCUGUUCUGACGGUACCCAAAGAAUAAGCACCGGCUAACUUCGUG